UAAAAUUUGAUCCUUUCGAAUGUCCCCUGUUUAUCAAAAACAUGUCUUUUUGUUUAAUAAUUUAAAGUUUAAUCUGCCCCCUGCAUUUAUUAAUUAAAGGGGUGCAGUAUAUUGACUGUACAAAGGUAGCAUAAUCAUUAGUCUUUUAAUUGAAGACUUGUAUGAAAGAUUUGAUGAAAUAUAAACUGUUUUUAAUUUAUUUAUAGAAUUUAAUUUUUUAGUUAAAAAGCUAGAAUUUAAUUAAAAGACGAGAAGACCCUAUAGAGUUUUAUAUUUUUUUUUUAUUAUAUAUAUAUAUAUAUAUAUAUAUAUAAAUUUAUUUAAUUAAUAAAAAAUAUUUUGUUGGGGUGAUAAAAAAAUUAAAUAAACUUUUUUUUUUAAUAAAUAUAAAUAAGUAAAAAAUUGAUCCAUUAUUAAUGAUUAAAAGAAAAAAUUACCUUGGGGAUAACAGCGUAAUAUUUUUUUUUAGAACAAAUAAAAAAAAAAGUUUGCGACCUCGAUGUUGGAUUAAGAUAAAAUUUAAAUGCAAAAGUUUAAAAUUUUGAUCUGUUCGAUCAUUAAAAUCUUACGUGAUCUGAGUUCACCCGGAGUUUGGGUCAGAGUCUAGUCUGCCCACU
rnacentral:rRNA from 1 species